ACUUUGUUCAUGUGCAAUGGUGUAGCGAAGCUCUACUAAUGGAAUGGUGAAUAACAGGCCCUGGAAAGCAGUAUUGGAAUGUAUAAUUAAGUGAUUGACACGCUCGUAAGUGGUGUUGGCAGCGUAUGGUGGUGUGGGAACGUUGCCUGAGGUUGCAGUUCUUGACCUUUGUAAGAAAAUGGGAUGGGGUCAUCGGUGAUUUCAACACAACCAUAUUGUUGAUUUUGGCUGCGGGUGAAUCGGGGAAAAUACGAAUCUCGAGAGCCUUCAGUGGAUUAUCGCGUCGAAUCACCGCCAAGUGCAAGUACGCGAGAGAGGAGAACCAAGUCCGUGUGGAGAUAAUUCGGGCAUGACAGUAUCAUAUCGGUCUCGGUCAAGACCCUCUCCCGUGACGUCACAAGGGUAGAUGAGUAAUCCUCAACGUCUCCAGCAGAUGUUGCAUAUACCACAGCGGAAAUAUCAGAUGUUGCAUUUACCACGAAGAAACAGAAGACGG